rnacentral:rRNA from 1 species
GAUGAACGCUGGCGGCGUGCCUAAUACAUGCAAGUCGAGCGAACGGACGAGAAGCUUGCUUCUCUGAUGUUAGCGGCGGACGGGCGAGUAACACGUGGAUAACCUACUUAUAAGACUGGGAUAACUUCGGGAAACCGGUGCUAAUAUCGGAUAAUAUUUUGAACCGCAUGGUUCAAAAGUGAAAGACGGUCUUGCUGUCACUUAUAGAUGGAUCCGCGCUGCAUUAGCUAGUUGGUAAAGUAACGGCUUACCAAGGCAACGAUGCAUAGCCGACCUGAGAGGGUGAUCGGCCACACUGGAACUGAGACACGGUCCAGACUCCUACGGGAGGCAGCAGUAGGGAAUCUUCCACAAUGGGCGAAAGCCUGACGGAGCAACGCCGCGUGAGUGAUGAAGGUCUUCGGAUCGUAAAACUCUGUUAUUAGGAAAGAACAUAUGUGUAAGUAACUGUGCACAUCUUGACGGUACCUAAUCAGAAAGCCACGGCUAACUACGUG